AUGACUUCGAAGUUUCGGUCAGUUAAGCCAUCAUCGGAUGAAGGCUUAAAUAGCUGAAACUUCGAAUUCACUGUCAAUAAUAUUCUUGUUUAACAAUAAAAACUUUGUACUCUACAAAACUAUAGAGUAACCUAUCAGAUUAAUGUAAAAUAGUUUUUAUUACAUAAGUGAAUAUAAAAACAAACAUUAAUAUAUAUAUAAUA